CUGAAGGCCAAGCCUUCUCAGCCCAAAAAGUGCGAAGGAAAAGGGUCUCUCCCCUUUUUAUUCGAUCCGAUCCCGACGACGGAGGAGAGACCUCUGGCGACGAAACCACGGGCGAUUCCGAUGGUGUCAGUGGUGUCAGACGCAUGGAGAAGGCAUGUAAGGAGGAACGGUGCGCAAGGCGGUCUGCUGACAUGCUGUGGCUGAAGGCAGAUGGGGGCUAGGGUUUUUUUGUGUUGUAAUGUUUUGAGUGGGCUAGGGUUUAGUUUGGGCCAUGUAAAUUGGGUAGGAUAGAUUUGAGUUUUGGGCUAUUGUUUGAUUAGUGAAUUGGGCCCUGAUAUUUGUAAAAAUAGAUUGCAAAUUGGACUUUUAUUAUUUAUUUGGGUUUUAUUUUUUUGUUUUGUUGAUUUGGGCUAAAA